rnacentral:tRNA from 1 species
GCAGUCGUGGCCGAGUGGUUAAGGCGAUGGACUGGAAAUCCACUGGGGUCUCACCGCACAGGUUCAAAUCAGCUUCAAAUCCUGUCGACUGCG